CUGAUGUCGCCGUCGCUGGGAGCAGCGCCGCCUUGUCAUCGCCAUCGCCGGGACCAGCGCCGCCUCGCGCGAUCGACGCCGACGCUGACAUCUCCUGGUCAGCAGCCGCGAGGAGCAGCAGCCCUCGCUAGGGGGUCGGCGACUACUGCAGGGGAGAGCUGGCGGCGCAGGAGGCCCCAGUUCGUCAAGGAGGACGCCGACUAGCAGAGAGUGGUGCAGCGCCCAAUUCGUCUAGGAGGGCACCCAAGACCAGCCCAGGUGUCUGCCUGACCGCAGGUUGUAACUUGCUGAAUGCAAAGAGAAGCUCUCUCUGUGUGAAUUAUUGCCUAUUUGACUAGCCUACCAAUUCUGGGAUAUUGGUUGGACUUGGGACAUUGGGAGGGAGCAUGUUAAUUUGUUCGAUGAACAAUUAAGUAAGUUGCUAGACACUUGACAGCUUGAUCAGAAGGAAUUGGACAGUUCGGAGAACGCCACCUAUUCUCACAAAACUUACUACGUCCUGGGCUUGGAGCAUUUGCUCCCGCUGCUCACAACCUGUUCAAUGAGCAGUUGGAUCUCCAAUAAUAGUAGCUCCUUUCGACUGUGCUGAUGCAAUAGAAAGUUCCAUUAGAUAUUGGAAGCUAAGUUUGAUACUUCUCCUGGAAAGUGAAUUGUGUGGCCAAACCUCAUCAGGUCUGACAUCAGAGAUAGGGGUGAGCAGUUCUUUUGUGAUUCUUGUGCAUCAUUAGCUCCCUCUAAUAAUCAUUCCCAUAUUUUCUGGUGUCCAAACCAUCCUUUUGAAUUC